rnacentral:rRNA from 1 species
GCAGCAGCCGCGGGAAUACGAAGGGUGCAAGCGUUAAUCGGGAUUACUGGGCGUAAAGGGCACGUAGGCGGAUCGAUCAGUCAGGGGUGAAAUCCCAGAGCUCAACUCUGGAACUGCCUUUGAUACUGUCGAUCUGGAGUAUGGAAGAGGUGAGUGGAAUUCCGAGUGUAGAGGUGAAAUUCGUAGAUAUUCGGAGGAACACCAGUGGCGAAGGCGGCUCACUGGUCCAUUACUGACGCUGAGGUGCGAAAGCGUGGGGAGCAAACAGGAUUAGAUACCCGCGUAGUCCCUGUCUCUUAUAC